ensembl:lncRNA
UGCAGAGAUUAGAAUUUGUCCCAAGUGAUUCCAAUGUGCUACCAGGAUGAAAAGCUACCAGCCUCCUCAUUUCCUAUACCUUGUCCCGGGAUCAGCAUCAUCAACCUCACCUGAAAACAUGCUAAAAAUGCAAACUUUCGGGCUCUACCCCAGACCUACUGAAUCAGAAACCUGGGGGGUGGGGCCCAGGAAUCUGUUAUAACAAGCCCUUCAGGUGAUUCUGGUAAAUGCUAAUGUUUGAGAGCCCGUGUAUUAGUGUAUAGUAACAAAGAAAGGAAAUGGUUAGUGCCAAGUGAGUGACAUGCGGCUUCUAAGCCCCAUCCGUAUAGGAGUUCACUGGAUUUGGGCCACUAGGGAGAGCUCUACAUCAGAUCUCCAGGCAUUUAGAUCCCAGAGGUCAGGGACCCCUGAAGAAGUAGAGGGAAAUAAUCCCACAUUGGAUCACAGCCCGUUUCAUAAUUUCAAGAAGAGAUGGAAAGCUGCAUGAUACGGUUGUUCCAAUAUCCAAGCCAAAGCAACAAAUGACCUUCAGAAUCCCAGGACAUAGUAAGUGGACAAGGGGAACUGGAUUUUACACAAGGGAUGAGUGUGGUGAUCCUCCUCACAGUCUAAAGAAUCCAGCCCAUGAUAUAAACCUGUAUAAAUCCAUACAUAGGUUCUUAACCAAGAACUCACAAAUAACUCCACCUUUUCCUUGUUCCUGCAAGCUUUAUUGAGGUCACCCAACUUCAAAGUUCCUCUCUGUGACUCAAAUGGUGACGUUCUCCUGUGUGUCAGUGUCUAGGGGACGCAAGGACGGAGGAAUAAUACCCUCCUGUAAGGCGAUCUGGACUAGCGACAAUGCCGCACUCUCUUUGCCGUGAAUACCAAUCGUGAUUUGGCAUCACAAGCGCCCAGAUAAUGUCUCUGAAAGGCAUCAGUGUUCUCCGAGAUGCUUCCCAGGUAUCCUGUUGCAAGAUCUAAAGUGUCUCAGAACUGAAUACAGUUCGCCGGUUUGUUCUAGAAAUGUUAAUCAAUUUCACAUACAUUCCCUGGAUAGCAGUGGAAAUUUUCUGUUCAAAUCCAUCCAACAAGAAGUUAACUGUGGGAAGGCCUGUUCUACAC